rnacentral:lncRNA from 1 species
UUUCUGCAGCAGAUUUCAUUUCUUUCACAUAAUUUAUUAAUCCAAAAAUGGCUUCCCGUUUUUCUAAUGCCAAGAUCGUAUCUUCUUUCAUCGCCAACACAGUCUGCCCUGUUGUCACCAGGUAUUUGAUUAUUCUAUACUAAAACAGUUCCUUUUUUUGCGUUUUAAUAGAUUUCAAGGUAUUAAUUUAAGCUUCUAGAAGAGAUAAUUAACAUUUGUGGAAUCAUUACUGACGUGUUAAUUUGUAUGGAUAUUUGUACAGGAGAGGAUAUGCGGCGGCAAGCAGUGUGAGAGGAGGAGCGGUGGCUCCAAAUAUGAUUUUAAAGAAGGGAAUUGAUGAAUCAACAAAGACAUCAUGGGUACCUGACCCGGUGACCGGAUAUUACCGGCCGGAGAAUGAAGCCAAGGAGAUUGACGCCGCUGAGUUGCGGGCACAGCACUUGAAGAACACAACCAGUAGCCACUAAAUCGAAGAAUUAUUACAAUCUGAUUUUGGCUCCAUUUAUUCUACUAAUUAAAUGGAAUCCAUUGUUUUUCGUCAGAAAUUGUUCUACUGUUAUUGAAUUGAAUAUGUGCACUGAAUUGUUGUACGUCCUCAGCCAUUCUUGUGCUAUUAAUGAAUUUGAAUUUCAUAGCAAUUUUAAGCAUGUUUGGCAAAGCUUAAGUUAGAAUUUAAGCAAAUAUUUUGUAUUAACAUAUUCUAUGUGACUUAGCUGCAUAAAUUGUAACUUAAGCACUCCCAAACAAGCAGUAAGAAAGAUUUUUUGAAUAGAGAAAAAUUUUGUAAUUCAUAAAUAAUAACCAGUUAUUUGUAAGAUAGAAGAACAAUCUUAUAGUUAUGAUUUUGCAUAUUGCAACAAUUACUCUCAUUCUUAAAUAUCAAACUUAAUCCAAUUCAAUCAAUUAAUUUAUAUAAUGAUAAAACUCAAUUGCAUGUUUUCUCUUUUUGGUGAUUUCACGAGGACUAACCGCCAUGUUUCGUUGAAGAGUCGAUUUAAAAUAACUUUCCAUACGAUUUAGAUAUUAUUUCUGUCCAAAUCCUCGCUUUUGAUUCGAAAAGAAACUAAAAAAUACUUAAUUUCCACAGGAAUUACAUGCCAAUUUAUGAUAAACUACUUUAUAAGAAAGAUGGCGAGGCCGAAUAACAAUCAACCUCCCUAAGUUUGGAGAGUAACUCGGUCAUUCACUAUACUUCCUUUCUCUCUCCCCUUACUAACGAAGUACAUUAAGCUAAAAUACUAUCCCCUACUUUAUGAUCUUUGAACUAACUUCUCUCAAAUAACUUCUUAUUUCAAUUAUAUUUACAAGAAUAAUGCUAUUUACAAUUAUUCACUAUCGCAGUCGUCAUACACGACAUACAUGUAAUGGUUAGUGAUUUGAUAUAUGAGACUUAAAAAAAACUAACACACGAGUACAUCAAAUUAUAAAUCACCACAUAAGAUAUUACGUAGGAUGACUACCGUAAUAAACGAUCAUGAAUAGUAUUACUUGCAUAUUCUUACUUUGAACUAUGAUACUUUUAAAAGAAACUCUUAUGUAACUACCUAAAUAAAUAGUUUACUUUAUUUAAAUUAAAUAAAAUAACUAUUGUUUUAAGACUUAUUUAUCUUAAAUAAAUCUACUUACGUAUAUUCUAAACUUUAUUUUCAAUAAAUUUGAGCUCAAGUGUAUGCUUUAUCUACUGCAAUACUCCCACGUAUCAUUCAUGCAUCAAUUUCGUGGGUGUCUUGAAAACGACAAGCAAUAAUAUUGGCCUGACGCAGCCGAUUAGUUGAAGCGGCCCCACUUUACACUUACAUAGGUGACCUUCUAUUAAGAGUAUUCUGCCCUACUCCACUUGACUUAAUCAAGAUAUAGAAAUCACUAAAAGAUUAUCUUAACUUCUUACAACUCUAUAGAAAGCACUUUAGUCUCAUAGGAAUGAGUUAGGAAAUUAUUUUCCUAAGUGUUUCGUGGAAUCCUCAUAACUUAGUUGUCCCUUUGAACCAAGAUCUUGGGAUCUCCAGUCAACAAGGUAGGGUUACCAUUACAAGGACUCUAACGUAGUAGGCUUCAAUCUCAUUCUCUUCAAUAUGCAGUCUUCUUGAUCUCUCUUACUAAAUCUCUUUUAAAGGUACCACGAGUUUACACCAUUGAGAUCAACUGCUUAAUGGUAUUAUGUCUAUGACUUAUACGUCUAGAUCUACCAUUACAUGUGACUUAGUAUCUUAUCAAAUAUAGCGAGCCAACGAUCAAUUUAUUUGAUACGUACAAAUUUUCGCCACCAAGAAAUCCUCUAAAGCUUUAUCAAUUUUCAAAUACGGUUGGAGGAUUUCUAUCAAACACUACACUAGUCAAUCACUUUUACUAGUGGAUUUCAGAAUCAUGGGUAUUCAAUAUCAUCAUUGAAAUAUUACCAUGCAUUUGAACUUUAUGAAUAUUCUUCAAAUAUUCCAAUUGUUCUUGCAAGUCCAAACAAUCGCCACAAUUGGCUUCCAUCCAUUUAAUCCACCUUAAACUUAGUGUAUAUCAUCCUUAUAAUUAGUAUAAGGGUUUUCUAUCUUUCUACCUUCAUGGAUAUAUUUCUAUGACUAUAAGAUAGAAGCAAAUGUAACUAUUAAACUGAGUUACCCCCACAAUUUCUCAAUUAGGAAUACAUAUGUAAUCUAGUAAUGUUGCAUCCACAAGUUUUGAACUUUCAAUUUCAAGUUCACAAGCAUUAAAUUUAAACCCCCCACAUUAUUGGUUUAUAGUAGAACUUAGAAUUCAGCAACUCUUUUAUAGUUCUAUUUAUUUAUCUCUUAGAUAAUAUUCGUAUCGAGUGCUUCGUGAAAGUCUAUGUACUUUCAAAGUAGUGGUCAUUAACUUGCAUAUAAUGUACUUGUUCGUCAAAUUCCCGCAAGCGUACGAGUUCGUUGUACAAGUAAUAAUCGUGAUGAGAGAGUUAUCGUCCCACAGGGAAUAAUGAUCAAUUUUUGUAUAUUUGAUAUAUUCAAAUUCGUGUUUGUAACUAAAAGACUAUCAAAGGACUAGCUAAAUAAUUUUUAUAACUAAAACUUGUAAAAACAAUUAAGGUUGGUGUAAAAAUCAAAUGUACGAACGUAUUGGAUUUCCGACGCUAUUGAUCAAUUCUUAGUUCUAAUUCCCAACUAGUGAUAAUUAUCUCAAUUUAUGCAAUUAUGACGAUCGAUAAUUUCACUAUUAUUUAUUAUUCUUUUCCAAGAUAUAAUAAAUCUAUGUUUACCAUGAGACGGUCCUAUUCCUAGUCCGAAUUCAUAUGGUGAACAUGCAUUGACAUCUAGGAUUAUUACAUAUGAUCGCACACGCCACAAAUAUUAUUUCUAAUGUUUAUUGCCCGUGUGUUCCAAUAACAGUGUUCUACCUAUCGUGAGUUUUCCAAAACAAUGAAUAAGCAACUUAUUGUCCUAAUGGUGUGCAAACAUUAAAACAAUGUAAAUAGGCAUAUUAAUGGAAUUACAACACAAGAAUUAAAGAUAAACACAAGUCUCGAAUUAAAACUAAAAUUUAAACAACUUUGUCAUCCAUCCAAUAUAGAAAAAAAUUAGCCUAGCAUAUUGUUGGAAUUAAACAAAGAAAAGUGGAAGGAAAUCACCAAAAAUCGACAGGACAUGAUUGACUCCACGAAUUUGCUCGACUUUUGCACGUGUAUGUUGAUUUCCCCCAAGCAGCCCUUUUUCAAUAUGUCUUUGGCCCAAUUAUGUGUGUUGUUUCUAUAUAAAAAUCAGCAAGCUACCGGCAAAUAUUCUCUGCAAUUUCCGUCAACAAUGUGGUUGUAAUCCCCGAUUGUAUGCUGCCAAAUUGUGUGUGUAGUAUAUAUAAAAAAAUCAGCCCAAAUCCAUGCAAUUAUACAUAUAGGCAGCCUGGUUACGUAUGUAUAUAUAUGAUAAAAGACCAGCAGCACUUUUUCCUUUGGGCAGCCGCCAAUUUUAUUCCAAAGUUGCCAAGUUUAUUUCUUUCCAGCCGGCCACUUGUGUAUCUUUUUAACUCCAGCAGCUGCCCACCGUUUUUGUAUAUAUUCUCAACAGGGUAGCCGAAUUGUCCCCAAUUAAUUCAACCUCAAGCAGCCUCCUUUUCUCUCCAAAUUCCUUUCUUUUUUCUGCCGGCAGUUUCGCUCCUUUGCAGCCACCAACUUAGUUUUUGAAAAUAAUAAAUUCAGCCCAAUGUUUGAACUCACAAGAAGUCGUUUUUAUUUUUUGGAGACCAAGUCAAUCCGGUUGGUUGGAUUUAAUUAAAGUCCAAUUGCCUUUGAACACAAAUCCAAACUUAAGGCCCAUUUAAAUUAGACAAGCCCUCAAUUCUUUCACAUAAUGCAAGUUAAUCCUUGAUACAAUUUUAUUUGUGCAACCAUUGUCCUUCUUCCUUUCCACUUGCUUCAAACGGGUCCAUCACUAAAAACACAAAGAAAAAUAACCUAAAUUAAAUGGAAAUUAAUAAUGUGACAACUUAAAAGUUUAAUAAUGUGGCAUAAAUAAGGGCACAAAUUGCACUUAUCAAACAUUCCCAAACUUAAACCUUUGUUCGUCCUCGAACAAAACUAUAACUUAAAUAGAAACAAACACACAAGCAAGCACAAAUAUUUGGUUGGACCAUUUAGUUUUUUAUCUCAGGAUUUGAAAUCACGUCAUUAAAUUUAAAAACUACUUCAAAGUCGUAAUACCAAACUAAUAUCCACUUUUCCAAUGCAAAAUCGACGUGUGUGUGUGAAGAACUAAGUAGGCAUUAAUGAAUUCACAAGUUAUUCCAAUUCCCAACCCUCUAUGGUCAAAUAUAUCUUUUCAUCUCUCGUAAGAUUCACACUCUCCCAAACUUAUUCUUUUUCACUCUUUUUCCCAGUGUGUGAUCUAAGAUUGAAUUUUUCAUUACUAUCCUCACUCUCUCCAAUUCAGGUGGACGUCACUAGUUGCAAGUCAACACAUCAAUGAAUAAGGAUUCUCCAAUUAUUAUUUGCUUUGACCAUCAAAAUUCAAUUAGGCUAAUUAUCCUUUAUCGAAAGUUAAAUUUCCUCGAACAAGUGUUGGGACUUACAAGGCAUUUAGUAUUUUUUUAUUAUUAUUAUUUUUUUUGCACUCUCCCUUAAGCUUUCUAGAUGACCCAUGUAGUAGGCUUUAAGCCGAUAACUCCCAAAUCAGAUGACUUUAGGGCACCAGAUUUUCAAUUACCCUUAGAGGCUUAAUAACCUGAGUCAAAAAGGCUUCGAAGAGAACAAUUUUUUUUGGGUAAUUUUCUCUCUGAUUGCUUUUUAAAUGACCCCUGUAACGAGCUUUAGAUCGAUGACUCCCAAGUCAGAUGACUUUAGGGCACUAGGCUUUAAGAUACUCUUGCAGGUUUAAUUGCUCGAGUCAUAAAAGCUCAAAUUAAAUUUCAAAAUAUAUGCCUUGAUUAGUGCAAUGUCCCUUAUCAUACACCUAUUCUAGCAAAUCGACCUCCCAUUUAAGACUUUCACCUAAUUUUAUCCUAUUAAUCUCAGAAACUCCACACAAAAUUUUUUCACACAAAGAAUCCACAUUUACAUCCGCAUUUUCCUACAACAGCAAGAUCUCCCCAAACUGUACUGAAUUUGGUCUAAGGAUAAAUAAUUAGUAUAGUUUUUGGUAAAGUAUCUAUGUCCAACUAAUUCAAUCUAUCAAGUGCAUGAAUCAACUCAUUUAAUCAUAAUGUCAGCUUAGUUCUAGUGCAUGUAUAAUAUCAAGUUUUGCAAGUUCAAGCUUCAAUCAAUCUAGCAUGCUUCCUAUCCACAGUUCAUAAAUCAAUGCCAAAUCUCAAACUUAAUCAUUAUUGUCAGCCAAACCGUCUAACCCACACAAGCACACAAUAAAAAAAAUAAAAUAAAAAUUUAACGAUUAUUAUUAUUAUUAUUAUUAUUUUAACAUAUGUAAACAACGCACGAAACAUACGAAAACCAAAAACACAAAGUGUUUCCCAUACCCCCAAAUUUAAGUCCGACAUUGUCCUCAAUGUCUUAAAAUAUAAUUAAGAAUAUAAGGGGACGGGGAAGAAAAGGACGAAGGUACUCCCUGAAUUUUUCUAUUGAACGUGGAAGAUACUGUAGGUGACGGCUAGACAAUCUUUCUCAUCAUACUUUCCCCUUGGUCGAUAUUGGUUUGAGUGUUCUACGACGUCAUGUUCCUGCAUAUGGCAAUCAAAUCAAACAGUAGAGAUAAAAAAAAAUCCAAAAUAUGCGUUACUUAGCCUAAACACUCGAAAUAACCAAUGAUGCUACCAAAAAAUAUCACCUGAAAGAUCUUGAGCUUGAUGGUCCAACUUCACUUUGAUGAACACAAUCGGUCUGUGAAUACCUGCAACAAAGGCAACGAGGUGUGUGCUCGUCGCCCCUCCGAUGCUUAAGUCAAAUAGAGAAUUUAGUGCUUGAGGUUAUAAAUUGAAGAUAAUGAAAAAACGUACCUUAAUGUUAAGCCUUGGCCAAGUAUUUAUAGGUGUUGGUGGGGGAGUUGUAGAAGGAUUCUAUUAUUGAAAGAGUCCUUUCCCCCUUAGGAUUAGGUGUUGGAGUUUGAUUAGAAGUAUUCUGUUAGAGUUCUAAUCAGGGGAGGAGUAGACUUAGAUGGGGUCUAUUUUCUGUUGGAGAUUAAGUCGGUGGGCAGGGUUGGAUUAGAGACCCCGACCUUAAGGAAACCCCGACCUCAAACCGGCAUAACACACUAAGAUCAACUCGGGGUAUUAGGUCGAGGUCAAUCAUGGCACUCGAAUUCAGGUAUAGUUCGGGGUUACCAAUCCGGAAUCAUCAACCAACAUUAUAUUUAAGAGCCUCAAUGAAAACAUGAUCGGAUGAUGAUACUCUAUAAAUUUAAACGUGCCUAAAUCUAAUGCAACUAAUAAUUAAAACAAAUCUAUAUGUAAUGCGAUACAGAAAACAAAAUAAAUAAAAGGUUUAGAAAUUGGGUUGUUUCCCAAUAAGCGCUUAAUUUAUAGUCUUUAGCUAGACUUUGUUUUUCUGGCUACUCUACAUUAUCAAGUGGUACGGUUGUUUUUUCACUGGAGUAAUCACCUCUCCAAUAAGCUUUCAAUCGUUGUCUAUUUACUUUGAACCUCCUUUGUUGAUCUUGAGACACCACUUCCACAGCACCAUGUGGAAACACAGCUACUACUGUGAAUGGACCCGACCACCUAGACUUUAGCUUUCCCGAAAAAAGCUUGAGGCGUGAAUUGAACAUCAAUACUUGUUGACCAAUCUCAAACUCCUUCUCCCUUAUAUACCUGUCGUGCCAUCUCUUGGUUUUUUCUUGUAAAUCUUUGCAUUCUCAUACGAAUCUAAACAAAACUCAUCUAGCUCAUGAAGUUGUAGAAUCCUCUUUUCUCCUGCUGCUCUCAUAUUGAAAUUGAGCAAGUGUGUCGCCCAGUAUGCUUUAUGCUCUAACUCAACCAACAGAUGACAAGCCUUUCCAAAUAGCAGUCGAUAUGGAGAUAUGCCAAUUAGAGUCUUAAAUGCUGUUCUAUACGCCCAAAGUGCAUCUUCUAGUUUUUUAGCCGAAUCUUUACGUGAUGCAUUGACCGUAGCUUCGAGAAUCUUCUUUAACUCCCUGUUAGAGAUUUCCACAUGCCCGCUAGUCUGAGGGUGGUAUGGAGUCGAGACACGAUAUUUCACUCCAUAUUUGGCCAACAAAGAAGCAAAUAAGCAGUUACAAAAAUUCUUUCCACCAUCACUAAUAAUUGCCCUCGGGGUGCCAUACCUUGUGAAAAUAUUCUUCUUCAGGAAUUGAGUUACCACUCGACCAUCGUUAGUUGGUAAAGCUAUAUCUUCAACCCACUUAGACACGUAGUCCACUGCCACUAAUAUAAAUUGUUCACCAUAGGAUGGAGAAAAUGCCCCAAACAUCGAAUAUUUCAACCUCCAAGAUAUUGUUCAAAGGCAUCUCAUUCCUCCUUGAGAUAUUUCCAGUCCUUUGGCACUUAUCACAAUGUUUCACCAUAUAGUGGGCGUCCUUGAACAACGUAGGCCAAUAAAAACUCGAUUGCAGUACCUUUGCUGCUGUCUUGGUUGCUGCGAAGUGGCCCCCAUACGGUGCAGAGUGACAUGACUCUAAUAUUUGAUGCUGCUCCACCUCUGGCACACAACGGCAUAUGAUUUGAUCUAGACCCCUUCUGUAAAGAAUUGGAUCAUCCCAAAAGUAGUGUUUUAUGUCACUGAAGAAUUUCUUCUUUUGGUGACUUGAGUAGUCUGGUGGGAUGAUGGAGCGGGCCAAAUAAUUGACAUAAUCGACGUACCAUGGUGUAGUGAUAAUCUGAAAGAGCAUUUCAUCAGGAAAGACUUCAUUGAUCUCCAAUGUAAGACUUGACUCAUGUGAUUCAAGGCGUGAGAGGUGAUCUGCCACAACAUUCUCACUCCUCUUUUUAUCUCUAAUUUCCAGAUCAAACUCUUGCAAUAGGAGUAUCCAACGAAUAAGUCUCGGCUAUGCAUCCUUCUUGCUCAUUAGAUAUUUUAAUGCUGAAUGAUCUGUAUAGACAAUCACUUUUGACCCAAUCAAGUAUGAUCUGAAUUUGUCAACGGUGAACACUACUGCCAACAGCUCGUUCUCUGUAGUCGUAUAAUUCAUUUGAGCUUCAUCCAAAGUCUUACUGGCAUAGUGAAUCACAUGAGAACUUUUCUCCUCUCGUUGACCCAACACUGCGCCCACUGUGUGAUCACUGGCAUCACACAUAAGCUCGAAUGGGUAAGUCCAAUCUGGAGAAGCCAAUACUGGAGCAGAAACCAAUUUUUCUUUUAAGGCGUUGAAAGCUGUCAAGCAUUCCUCAGAGAAGUGAAAUGGGGUCCCUUUUUCUAGUAAAUUGUACAAUGGCUUCGAGAUUUUGGAAAAGUCUUUGAUGAAGCGACGGUAAAACCCAGCGUGACCCAGAAAACUUCUAACUCCUUUUACUGUUACAGGCGGUGGUAGUUUUUCGAUGACUUGUAUCUUAGCUCUAUCAACCUCAAUACCCCGUGCUGAAAUUAAAUGUCCUAACACAAUCCCUUCAUGUACCAUGAAAUGACAUUUUUCCCAAUUUAAUACGAGGUUUGUGUCUUCACACCGUUGUAACACUUUUUCCAAAUGUUCAAGGCAUUCCUUGAAUGAUUUUCCAAACACUGAGAAAUCAUCCAUAAACACCUCAAUAAUAUGUCCCACCAUGUCUGAAAAAAUAGACAUUCUAUAGCGCUGAAAGGUGGCUGGAGCAUUGCAAAGGUCGAAUGUCAUCCUCCUAUAAGCAAAAGUGCCAUAAGGGUAUGUAAAGGUCAUCUUCUCUUGGUCAUCUGGUGCUAUAAGAAUUUGGUUGUACCCCGAAUAACCAUCCAGGAAGCAAUAGUACGCACGUCCAGCAAGUCUCUCCAGCAUCUGAUCAAUGAAAGGAAGGGAAAAGUGAUCCUUCCUUGUGGCGUUGUUGAGUUUGCGAUAAUCAAUGCAAACUCUCCAACCCGUGACUGUGCGUGUCGGGAUGAGCUCAUUGUUUUCAUUUGGAACCACUGUGAUCCCUCCCUUUUUCGGUACGACUUGUACUGGACUUACCUAAUGACUGUCUAAUAUGGGAUAGAUGAUCCCUGUAUCCAGAACCUUUAAUAUCUCUUUCCUUACCACUUCCUGCAUAGUCGAAUUUAAUCUGCAUUGAUGCUCAAUUGAAGCUUUGUAAUCAUCUUCUAUCAGUAUUUUAUGCAUGCAAAGCGAAGGGCUGAUCCCUUUUAUAUCCGAUAUCGUCCAUCCUAUUGCUGUCUUAUGCUCUCGAAGCACCCUCAGCAAUUGAUCCUCCUCCACUUCUGUAAGAUUGUUUGAGAUGAUUACUGGAAGUGAAUUCUUUUCCCCCAAGUAUGCAUAAUGAAGAUGAGUUGGCAGUUGUUUGAGUUCAAGAGCUGGAGCUUAUUCUAUAGAUGGUAAAGGUGUUGUGGGUCUUUCACUGAGCUCCAGUCGUGGUUGCUUGAAGAAUGGUGGUAUGACUGCCAAAUAACGUGUACAUUCUUCUACUUCCUCCUUUUCUGAUGGUAAAUCUUGUGAAUGCACUAAACAAGCCUUAAGCGGAUCUUGAGGGUGAUCUAGUUUGAAUGUCUCUGACACCGCUUCUUUUAUUACAUCAAUCUGCAUGCAAGAAUUCGGUUCGCUCUGAAAUCUGAAACCUCUAAACACGUUGAUUGUCAAUUCUUCUCCAUUUAACCUCAAUAUCAACUGACCAUUUUGCACAUCUAUCAGAGCUCUUCCCGUAGCCAAAAUGGACGACCCAGUAUGAGGAAAACGUCUCUAUCUUCUUCCAUAUCCAAAAUAAUGAAGUCCGCUGGGAAGAUAAACUUGUCAACUUUUACCAAAAUAUCUUCACAAAUACUACGAGGGUGUCUGAUCGACCUGUCAGUCAAUUGCAGUGAAACUGUAGUUGGUUUUGCUUCCCCCAAACCUAGUUUUUGAAAAAGAGAUAAAGGCAUUAAAUUAAUGCUAGCUCCUAGAUCACACAAUGCCUUAUCUAUAUACAAGUUACCAAUGUGACAAGGAAUAGUAAAACUCCCUGGGUCUUUUAGUUUCGGUGGUAAUUUGUGUUGGAGAAUUGCGCUACACUCCUCAGUAAGCAUGACUGUUUCAUUGUCUUCCAGCUUCUUCUUAUUUGAUAGAAUGUCUUUCAUGAACUUGGUAUAGCUGGGCAUUUGGGCUAAAGUUUCAGCAAAUGGUAUGUUAAUGUGCAGCUUCUUGAACACAUCCAAAAAUUCUUGGAAUUGCUUGUUGAGCUUAUGUUUUUGCAAUCUCUGUGGAAAUGGGAUUGGAGGAACAUAUGCUUUGAUAGGAGCAGUUGCUUUUACCUGUGGACUAUCUGAUGAUUCAACUUGAUUUUCCUCAGUGGCCUUGUCUAAUUCAUCCACUUGCUCCUCGUCCAUGGUAGGUGCCACUACGUGUAGUGAUUGCUUUGACCUGCUCCUUAGAAUUUGUUUCAGUAUUACUAGGCAAUGUCCCUUGAGCUCUACCUGAUAGUGCGGUUGCAAUUUGUCCAACUUGUUGUUCCAAAUUCUUGAUCGAGGCUUGUUGGUUUUGAAAGUUGGUCUCAGUUUUAGUAAUAUAUUGAGCCAGCAAAUCUUCCAAUGAUGGCCUUCUCCCUUGCUGUUGUUGCUGUUGGAAUCCUGGUGGUUUAUUCUGAUUGCUUCCUCCCUGUUCUUGUCCUUGAUUAUUGGACCAUGAAUAAUUUGGAUGGUUCUUCCAACCUGGAUUAAAUGUGUUGGAGAAAGGAUUAUUAUGAUGUCUCUGAAUGUUCUGUGUGUAGCUUACUUCUUUGGAUUGAUUAACAUGUACAGACGCCAAAGGGCAGCGUGUACUAGCAUGAUUCGCUCCACAGCCUUCACAAACAGGUGGCGAUUGGUAUACCAUGUUGACUGACUUAGAUAGAUUGUCCAUUUUCACUGUAAGAACUUCCAUUUGCGCGGCCAGUGCUGUCACUGCAUCUACAUUGUGUAACCCUGAUGUUUUUCUUGGAGCUUCCCUAUCAGUUGGCCACAUCGAUUGGUUUUCAGCUAUUUUUUCAUACAGGUCAUAUGCCUCAUCCACGUCCAGUUUCAUCACUGAUCCUCCUGCUGAAGCAUCUAUCAUAUUUCUAAACUCUUGUUUUAGACCGUAGUAGAAAAGAUAUUGCUGAGCCUGUUUGGGAAUGUCAAGGUUGGGGCAUUUUCUCAAAAAAUUCUUGAACCUCUCCCAUGCCUCAGGAUAGCUCUCUAAAUCUUUCUGCUUGAAAGUGUGAACGUCAUUCCUAAUUUGGUGAAUUCGAGAAGGUGGAAAGAAUUUCAUCGUGAAUUUUUGAACCAUAUCGUUCCAUGAUUGAAUGCUUUCCGGUGGUAAACAAAGAAACCAUUCUCUAGUAGCAUCCUUUAAGGUGUGAGGGAAUAAUCUCAUAUCGGAAUGCAUCUGCUGAUAUCCCUUCGUGACUGAUCACGUCACAUAACAUGAGAAACGCAGAAAUAUGCUCAUGAGGAUUUUUUUGGCUUUUCCAAAGAACCUGAUUUAUUGGUGAUUUUGAAACAAAUUGAUGACGUUUGGUCGAAGGUGGAAAUUAGGUUGUCCAAAGGGAGGGUAUACCAAAGCAGGUUGCACUGGUACAGGAAUUAGAUUAAUGUGAUCUCCAACUAAGACAGGAGCUUCGUUCUGGUUAGCUCUCAGUUGAUUUGGCUGCGGUACUGGCUCAUGAAGCUGAACUUGAUUUUGGUUAUCAGCCAUUCUCCUUACUUGACGUUGAACUCUUCUGCGAUUUCUAAAUGUUCUUUCGAUUUCGUGGUCUAUUGGAAAGAGAUCUGGCUCGUCAGGAUUUUGCAUAAACUAAAGUUGCCUAAAAAGUGUAAUGAUAGCCAAAAAACAACUAAAAAUAAAAUGAAAAUAAAAACAAUAAUAAAUAAAUAAAAACGAAUCUAAAAUAUCUAACAACUAAAAUUAACACCGUUAUUUCUCGGCAACGGCGCCAAAAACUUGUUCGUCAAAUUCCCGCAAGCGUACGGGUUCGUUGUACAAGUAAUAAUCGUGAUGAGAGAGUUAUCGUCCUACAAGGAGUAAGGAUCAAUUUUAGUAUAUUUGAUAUAUUCAAAUUCGUGUUUGUAACUAAAAGACUAUCGAAGGACUAGCUAAAUAAUUUUUAUAACUAAAACUUGUAAAAACAAUUAAGGUUGGUGUAAAAAUCAAAUGUUCGAACGUAUUGGAUUUCCGACGCCAUUGAUCGAUUCUUAGUUCUAAUUCUCAACUAGUGAUAAUUAUCUCAAUUUAUGCAAUUAUGACGAUCGAUAAUUCCACUAUUAUUUAUUAUUCUUUUUCAAGAUAUAAUAAACCUAUGUUUACCAUGAGACGGUCCUAUUCUUAGUCCGAAUUCAUAUGGUGAACAUGCACUGACAUCUAGGAUUAUUACAUAUGAUCGCACACGCCACAAAUAUUAUUCCUAAUGUUUAUUGUCCGUAUGUUCCAAUAAUAGUGUUCUACAUAUCGUGAGUUUUUCAAAACAACGAAUAAGUAACUUAUUGUCCUAAUGGUGCGUAAACAUUAAAACAAUGUAAAUAGGCAUAUUAAUGGAAUCACAACACAAGAAUUAAAGAUAAACACAAGUCUCGAAUUAAAACUAAAAGUUAAACAACUUUGUCAUUCAUCCAAUAUAGGAAAAAAAUUAGCCUAACAUACUGUUGGAAUUAAACAAAGAAAAGUGGAAGGAAAUCACCGAAAAUCGACGGGACAUGAUUGACUCCACGAAUUUGCUCGACUUUUGCACGUGUAUGUUGAUUUCCCCCAAGCAGCCCUUUUUCAAUAUGUCUUUGGCCCAAUUAUGUGUGUUGUUUCUAUAUAAAAAUCAGAAAGCUGUCGGCAAAUAUUCUCUGCAAUUUCCGUCGACAAUGUGGUUGUAAUCCCCGGUUGGCACUCAAUUCUUUCCUCCAGUGUGCUCCCAAAUUGUGUGUGUAGUAUAUAUAUAUAUAAAUCAGCCCAAAUCCAUGCAAUUAUACGUAUAGGCAGCCUGGUUACGUAUGUAUAUAUAUGAUAAAAGACCAGCAUCACUUUUUCCUUUGGGAAGCCGCCAAUUUUAUUCCAUAGUUGCCAAGUUUAUUUCUUUCCAGCGGCCACUUGUGUAUCUUUUUAACUCCAGCAGCUGCCCACCGUUUUUGUAUAUAUUCUUACCAAGGUAGCCGAAUUGUCCCCAAUUAAUUCAACCUCAAGAGCCUCCUUUUCUCUCCAAAUUCCUUUCUUUUUUCUGCCGGCGGUUUUUCUCCAUUGCAGCCACCAACUUAGUUUUUGAAAAUAAUAAAUUCAGCCCAAUGUUUGAACUCACAAGCAGCCGCCGGUAAUUGUCUAGGUUAGUCUCCCCCUCCCUUCUAAUGCAUGUGGAUAGGCUUAAUAAUUAUAUCAAAAGUCAUGGUUUUUCAUAUGAAAGGACGCACAUUUUCAUCUAAAUUGAUACUAGAAUAUUUCAUAAUAUUCUACACAAUUUUCUACAAUUUCAAAUAAUUAAGUGGCUUAAUUCUCAUUACUAAAUAAUGGUAUCCACUUAAAUCAUCUCACUUAAUUUUAUCAAAUUAAUUGAGGCUAUUAUCAUGGUCAAAGUUAGUAUAAUUUCAAUAAGAUAUGAAAUUUUAACCAACUAAUUUACCAUGCCAUUAUCAUAUUCUAAUCAAAGGGAUUGUCAUGAAAUUUCAUAUACCUUCGUCAAAUAAUUGGCAUCCUUAUAUGUCCAAUGGUUAGGAAUACUUUCCUCAUUUCCAUCCAUUCAUUAUUGGACUCGAGUUGGUUUUAGCAAUAUCAAAUUCAUCAUGACCAAAGUGAAGGAAUAACAAUUUAUAUUCCAAACAUUCAUACAUCCAUUGUAUAAAUGUAUUCCAUCUAUAGGAAUGUCAAUGUCUCAAGGGAGUUUGUGCACUUCCAUAUUAUAAGAGAUGACAUUGCAAUCUCAUUAUCACAACAUGAAUUGCCACUACCACAAUUAAUUAAAUUAAACAAUAGUCGGAAUUGCACCAUGCACUUCCAAAACCAAUAGCAACAGCCAACACAGAUGAAAAUUGGUCACCCACGUGUUUUCGAAGCCUAUUGUUAAAUAAAGAAGGAUGGAAGAAAUUAAAUUUGCUUUGGCAGCUUCUCCCACUAAUGGUCAUUGGUUUGAGUAUAACCAUUCAUACAAAGAAGUGUCCACAUAAGGUAAAACAAGACCAAAGUUAUUCAUUAUAUUGAAUCUCGAAUAUGUUGCAUUUUAACAAACCCAAAUUAGAGAAUAUUUUACUAUCAUUAUUCUCUCAAUGUAUAAUUUCAUGUAAGCAUCUAUUCACAUGCCAUUCACAAUAUUUUAAGAAAAGGGAUAGACAUAAUGCUUUUGAAAAUUAAACUGCCAUGGCUUGAAGACAAAAGAACUCAAGCCCUUCAUAAUUAAAUCUUUUAAACAAAUUGAAUUCUUGGAAUUCAAUCGAUACGUGAACGAAUAAGACUUAAUCAAAAUAAUACCCAAUGGAGCAUAACUGUUAAAAUGGUGUGAAUAGUAAAUAAUUCAUGCAAUAACAAAUUUAAAUCUCACACAUGCAUACACGUGCAAUUUCAUAGUCAGGCAUAUAAAAUAGAUUUUAUAGGUUAUCAAGCCACAUACUCAAGUCAUGUAACUUACUUAUCAAAAUAUAAAAUGUACAAAAAUAAAUUCAUCUUAAGAUUGUUGGGGAAUAUACUGAUUAUAUACAUAUUAUAUUCAUAAAAAAUAUACCGUUUAUGUUCACGAAAUUGAAAUAAGGUUUCGCCUUACCGAAAUGGAGUUUGAGAAGGAAAACAUAAAAGUUACCUAAUCUGAAUGCAUGGAUAUGGAUUCAUCCCUUUCGAUUCUUGAACGAAAGCAAAUUAUUCUUUUGAUCGAACUUUGCAACAUAAACAUGUAAACAAUGUUAAUCAUUUUCCGAAAUCAAAAUAUAAUCAAAAGAAAUCAGAAAACUACAGGAAGAAAGAUGCAAGUGAUGAAUUUUUGGUCGAGGCAAGUGUUUGACACUUGGUCCGUAAGAUGAAUUUGUCCCGCAUCGGUGCUAACGAUUUUUCGACAAUCAUCUCCGAAGAUACAAUGACCACGUCAAGCCAUAGGAACACUUCAAAUGAUUUCGACCAGCGAACUCGAACGGAAUUUCCUCUCUACCAAGGAAAUGCAUGAAAAUAUUAUAGAAUUAGAAGUAGAGAAUUGCAAGAGGAGAAUGAAUACUCAAUGCAAUUGGUGUACCCAAAACCAUGUCCAUAGGGUUCUACUUAUAGAUGUAGAAAGGGUGCAAAUAAAGUAGUGUAGGCUAAAACAUGCAUCCUUUCAAAAAGUUGCAACGCUUGGCCAAAACCUGCAUCAUUUCGAAAAAUUACAACACUUCAUUUCUUCCAAUAUUAGUCAGCAAUUUUUCAUUCAUCCAGAAUUGGUUUCGAGAUUUCAAAUAUACCAUGACGAUUUACUCGACGAGUAGAAUAAGUUGGUCUAUUUACUUUUGUAAUUUGACCAUUAGAUCAAGUCCGAAUAUUUGAUCGAAGUUGACACAUAGUCACACCUUUUCAUUUUCCACUUUUACACACCUUUUCAUUUUUCAAUUUUUGGUUAAUUAUUUGAAACAAUUCCUACAAGUAAAUCUCAACAGCAAGUUCCUCUGACAUUUUCAAAAACCUAGAAUGUGUUCAGCAAAUAAAAAAGUCAAAACACACCUUAUUUCCUUCUCAAGAUACAUCUCAACAGCAAGCAUGUCAACCUGAUAAAUGAUUUAAUAUGGUUCCUACUUUUGUCUAUAUAUUGGGAUGAAAGCGAUGAUCAUCAUAUCAACUGUGCCUACCUCCGAAUUUAACUGUAAAUUUGAUUUUGCUUCACUACCAGAAUCAGAACCAGAGUUUGACAGUCUUUGAAUCAGAUUCAGAAUGGAUUAGAACAAGAAUCUGCAUUUGAACAUCAUACUCCUGAUUUUUUUUAUUUUUUAAAUAAAAUUACGUCAGCCCCAACUCCCAAGCAGAUUUGGCUAAAUCAUUUCCUCCAAAAUCUUCACAUUGACAUUGAAGAAUAUUUGAUCUUCUUUCUUCAUUUUUUAUGUCCCUCUCCUCCCAGGUGAACUAGACCACCACCACACUACAGAAGCAUAACCUAUUUUUUUUUUAUGCCUUUUGGGUUACCAUGCUCAAGUGAAACGCCCAAUCCCACUAUCAACAAAAGCAUUGGGUAACUUUUCUUCUACCUACCUACCAUCCCUCGUGGGCCAAACCAACAAGGAGGCCAGAAUAACAACUCUAUCCAUCCCGCAACCAUUGCUAGACUCGAUUGAGCAGCCAUCAACUCUAAAACUCCUAACCAUUAGUCAGGAAAAUAACAUCCAUGUGUUUCUUACAAUCCGAUCCACAACAAAUUAACUGCAAAAUCUUGUAACUACGUGCUAACUUUGGAAAGAUAAAGAUAUAGAAUAAAGAUGAGAAUGGGAGUAAAUGAGCUUUGCCCAAGUACAACCAUUUCUCUCUUUUGCCGAAUAAAAGAUGGUGACUAUAUUCCAGAAUUUGGAAAUUGUAGCACUACAAAUUUUGGGUGGUGAAAGUGGUUUAGGUGGAGAGAGGUCUCUUGGUAGAUGACAAUGACCAUGGUAGCGAACAUUUAAUGGAGAAUAUGAUGGAUGAUGGUAGCAUGUUCGUGUUGCAGAUGUUUGAUUCAUCACCAUUGGAGGUAGGGAUGGCAAUGAGUGGAGCCGGUUUAUCCACGAGCUCUAUCGGAUGUGUUGUUAAAAGAAGUUGAAAAAGAAUUUCGAUUUAUGUGCAAUAAAAAUAUUUUAUUGUAAAAAUGUGUGAUUAAAAAUAAAUUUGCAAAAAAAAAAAAAAUGAGUUUUGUUUUGUACUUUUGAUGGUUGUCGAGUGGGAGUUUAGAUAAGUUACUUAUGUUUUCAAUGGAAAUUAAAUACUAAUUUCAUGCUUUGUUUGGAUAAAUUAUAAAUAAUUUAAAAAUGAUCAAACCGCAUUUUUAAUCUCACGUACUAUGCAUCUACUAUAAGUAGUUUAUAAUUAUUUAUAAAUUAUCAAAAUGGAAGCCAAAUCACACAUUCAUGUUUAUUAUUAUCUUAUUAUUGACACAUUUUUUGUAAUUCAUUACUCCUCUCGUUAUAAUCUUCAUAUAAGGAGAUUAAUGAAAUCCAAAUGCUCUUAGAUCAAUUUCCAACCUUUUUAGUAGUCUGAUCUCAACUUUUAAAAGUGAGGUUUGGCUCUCAACAUUUUUAUGUCUAUGAUUAUGUUUCUAAAUGAUUGCAACUAUUAAUGUGGAUGAUAAAAUUACACGAGAUUUUCACUUAAAUUGUACGAAAUAGUCAUUCACUUACUAUUCGUUUGAUGCAAAUUCAAAACAAUGCAUAAAUUAAGUAAAAAAUCAAACAUUAAAUUUAACGAAACAUUCAUAAUCCAUGAGACUCGUUACUUUUUUAUAAAUUUUUGAAAGAGAAUUGCUACUUUGAUAGAAAAUUUUAACAGAUGCUUUGAUAUAAUUUGAGGUGGCAGAAAAUAAUUUGACAUGAAAUUGAUUGUGUAUAAAAUAGUCCAAUAAUAUAAUAUUAUAUAAUAUUAACAUUAUAUCAAACUUUAUGUUAAAAAAUCUGAGCUAUAGCAUGAUUUUUUUUGAAAUCGUGAAAAGUCUUUAAUUUGAGUCCAGAUUGUGUCAAUACCAUUGGACAAUUAACCAUAAAAUUAAAAUAAGAAAAGACAAAAAGAAAAGUGUAGAGAGCAAGAAAAAGCAAGGCAAGGCACGAGAAAUAGGCUGUAUUGACCGUUUAGUUUGCUGGAUCGGUUCGAAUCUAGAAAAGAAAAAUGUAAUUUUCCUAUCUGUACAGGUCCCUUCAUAAUGGGGACUCACAUCGAAUAAAAAAAUCAUGAAUCCCAUGUUGUAGAAACUGUACAAGUCUAAUGCACACAUAGCAUCUUUCAAGAAAAAAUCCACCUUGUUGUGUAUCCUAUCAUCUGGUGCCACUUCAAGCCAACAUUCAACAAUUACAUAAUUAAUGACCUCCAAUUUAAAGUUUUUCUAUUCAAAAACUCUAAAUUAAAAUUCAUGAACAAUAUUGAAGAUGCUUUAAACUCAUCAGUUAAAAAUAAAAGUCGUUCAUUUUUUGACUUAAUCCAAUACUUUAUUCUACAAGCUGAUGAUAAUCGUACACUGUUUGUGUCCGCAAUGCCAUCAUAGCACCCAAGAAUUCAUGACAUGUAUCAUGAUAAUUGAUGAAAUUCUUUACUUCGCAUCGAAUUAUACCAUAUACUCCAACGGUCGAAAAAUGUGUUCCAUUUUCGAACGUUGAGAAGUUAGUUCAUCGAGUCAUUAAACUUAUCAAACUCCUAUUUCAUUUGAAUUAAAAUUUCAAGUUAUCUCAACAAUUAAUUUUGAGCACAUAUUUUAAGGAAUUCUUAACCUUUCAAUUAUAUAUUUCAUUAAUUUAUCAAAAAAUUAAUUUUAAUCUAUACCAAACAGAGCUAAUACGACAAAACAAUAGGUGGAAGUGGGAUUUGACUUGGUGCCAAUGAAUGUGGGAAGAAAUUAACCCUUAGCGUAUUAGGAGAAGCCUACUUCGACGCGGCCCCCUCAACUCAAUUGUUUACAUUUUCCUCUCUAUUUCCCCUCUCUCUCUUCACGCGGCUCCCUGGUUUUUGCUAUAAAUGAGUCUGCGAUCCUCUCCUCUCCAAACCACAUUCAAUCACAAGUCACAAGAUUUCACUGCUGAAGAAGGAAUUACUUUCUGCAGCAGAUUUCAUUUCUUUCACAUAAUUUAUUAAUCCAAAAAUGGCUUCCCGUUUUUCUAAUGCCAAGAUCGUAUCUUCUUUCAUCGCCAACACAGUCUGCCCUGUUGUCACCAGGUGUUUGAUUAUUCUAUACUAAAAUAGUUCCAUCUUGUGCGUUUUAAUAGAUUUCAAGUUAUUAAUUUAAGCUUUUAGAAGAGAUAACUAACAUUUGUGGAAUCAUUACUGACGUGUUAAUUUGUAUGGAUAUUUGUACAGGAGAGGAUAUGCGGCGGCCAGCAGUGUGAGAGGAGGGGCGGUGGCUCCUAAUAUGACUUUAAAGAAGGGAAUUGAUGAAUCAACAAAGACAUCAUGGGUACCUGACCCGGUGACCGGAUAUUAUCGGCCGGAGAAUGAAGCCAAGAAGAUUGACGCCGCUGAGUUGCGGGCACAGCACUUGAAGAACACAACCAGUAGCCACUAAAUCGAAGAAUUAUUUCAAUCUGAUUUUGGCUCCAUUUAUUCUACUAAUUAAAUGGAAUCCAUUGUUUUUCUUCAGAAAUUGUUCUACUGUUAUUGAAUUGAAUAUGUGCACUGAAUUGUUG